GUUAUAUGGUCAAGUGAAGAAGCGCAUACGGUGGAUGCCUUGGCAGUCAGAGGCGAUGAAAGACGUGGUAGCCUGCGAAAAGCUUCGGGGAGUCGGCAAACAGACUUUGAUCCGGAGAUCUCUGAAUGGGGGAACCCACCUAGGAUAACCUAGGUAUCUUGUACUGAAUCCAUAGGUGCAAGAGGCGAACCAGGGGAACUGAAACAUCUAAGUACCCUGAGGAAAAGAAAUCAACCGAGAUUCCCUUAGUAGUGGCGAGCGAACGGGGAUUAGCCCUUAAGCUUCAUUGAUUUUAGCGGAACGCUCUGGAAAGUGCGGCCAUAGUGGGUGAUAGCCCCGUACGCGAAAGGAUCUUUGAAGUGAAAUCGAGUAGGACGGAGCACGAGAAACUUUGUCUGAACAUGGGGGACCAUCCUCCAAGGCUAAAUACUACUGACUGACCGAUAGUGAACCAGUACCGUGAGGGAAAGGCGAAAAGAACCCCGGAGAGGGGAGUGAAAUAGAACCUGAAACCGUAUGCGUACAAGCAGUGGGAGCCUACUUGUUAGGUGACUGCGUACCUUUUGUAUAAUGGGUCAGCGACUUAUAUUCAGUGGCAAGCUUAACCGUAUAGGGUAGGCGUAGCGAAAGCGAGUCUUAAUAGGGCGUUUAGUCGCUGGGUAUAGACCCGAAACCGGGCGAUCUAUCCAUGAGCAGGUUGAAGGUUAGGUAACACUGACUGGAGGACCGAACCCACUCCCGUUGAAAAGGUAGGGGAUGACUUGUGGAUCGGAGUGAAAGGCUAAUCAAGCUCGGAGAUAGCUGGUUCUCCUCGAAAGCUAUUUAGGUAGCGCCUCAUGUAUCACUCUGGGGGGUAGAGCACUGUUUCGGCUAGGGGGUCAUCCCGACUUACCAAACCGAUGCAAACUCCGAAUACCCAGAAGUGCCGAGCAUGGGAGACACACGGCGGGUGCUAACGUCCGUCGUGAAAAGGGAAACAACCCAGACCGCCAGCUAAGGUCCCAAAGUUGUGGUUAAGUGGUAAACGAUGUGGGAAGGCUUAGACAGCUAGGAGGUUGGCUUAGAAGCAGCCACCCUUUAAAGAAAGCGUAAUAGCUCACUAGUCGAGUCGGCCUGCGCGGAAGAUGUAACGGGGCUCAAACCACACACCGAAGCUGCGGGUGUCACGUAAGUGACGCGGUAGAGGAGCGUUCUGUAAGCCUGUGAAGGUGAGUUGAGAAGCUUGCUGGAGGUAUCAGAAGUGCGAAUGCUGACAUGAGUAACGACAAUGGGUGUGAAAAACACCCACGCCGAAAGACCAAGGGUUCCUGCGCAACGUUAAUCGACGCAGGGUUAGUCGGUUCCUAAGGCGAGGCUGAAAAGCGUAGUCGAUGGGAAACAGGUUAAUAUUCCUGUACUUCUGGUUACUGCGAUGGAGGGACGGAGAAGGCUAGGCCAGCUUGGCGUUGGUUGUCCAAGUUUAAGGUGGUAGGCUGAAAUCUUAGGUAAAUCCGGGGUUUCAAGGCCGAGAGCUGAUGACGAGUCGUCUUUUAGAUGACGAAGUGGUUGAUGCCAUGCUUCCAAGAAAAGCUUCUAAGCUUCAGGUAACCAGGAACCGUACCCCAAACCGACACAGGUGGUCGGGUAGAGAAUACCAAGGCGCUUGAGAGAACUCGGGUGAAGGAACUAGGCAAAAUGGCACCGUAACUUCGGGAGAAGGUGCGCCGGCUAGGGUGAAGGAUUUACUCCGUAAGCUCUGGCUGGUCGAAGAUACCAGGCCGCUGCGACUGUUUAUUAAAAACACAGCACUCUGCAAACACGAAAGUGGACGUAUAGGGUGUGACGCCUGCCCGGUGCCGGAAGGUUAAUUGAUGGGGUUAGCGCAAGCGAAGCUCUUGAUCGAAGCCCCGGUAAACGGCGGCCGUAACUAUAACGGUCCUAAGGUAGCGAAAUUCCUUGUCGGGUAAGUUCCGACCUGCACGAAUGGCGUAACGAUGGCGGCGCUGUCUCCACCCGAGACUCAGUGAAAUUGAAAUCGCUGUGAAGAUGCAGUGUAUCCGCGGCUAGACGGAAAGACCCCGUGAACCUUUACUGUAGCUUUGCACUGGACUUUGAGCCUGCUUGUGUAGGAUAGGUGGGAGGCUUUGAAGCGUGGACGCCAGUUCGCGUGGAGCCAUCCUUGAAAUACCACCCUGGCAUGCUUGAGGUUCUAACUCUGGUCCGUGAUCCGGAUCGAGGACAGUGUAUGGUGGGCAGUUUGACUGGGGCGGUCUCCUCCUAAAGAGUAACGGAGGAGUACGAAGGUGCGCUCAGACCGGUCGGAAAUCGGUCGCAGAGUAUAAAGGCAAAAGCGCGCUUGACUGCGAGACAGACACGUCGAGCAGGUACGAAAAGUAGGUCUUAGUGAUCCGGUGGUUCUGUAUGGAAGGGCCAUCGCUCAACGGAUAAAAGGUACUCCGGGGAUAACAGGCUGAUACCGCCCAAGAGUUCAUAUCGACGGCGGUGUUUGGCACCUCGAUGUCGGCUCAUCACAUCCUGGGGCUGAAGCCGGUCCCAAGGGUAUGGCUGUUCGCCAUUUAAAGUGGUACGCGAGCUGGGUUUAGAACGUCGUGAGACAGUUCGGUCCCUAUCUGCCGUGGACGUUUGAGAUUUGAGAGGGGCUGCUCCUAGUACGAGAGGACCGGAGUGGACGAACCUCUGGUGUUCCGGUUGUCACGCCAGUGGCAUUGCCGGGUAGCUAUGUUCGGAAAAGAUAACCGCUGAAAGCAUCUAAGCGGGAAACUUGCCUCAAGAUGAGAUCUCACUGGGAACUUGAUUCCCUGAAGGGCCGUCGAAGACUACGACGUUGAUAGGCUGGGUGUGUAAGCGUUGUGAGGCGUUGAGCUAACCAGUACUAAUUGCCCGUGAGGCUUGACCAUAUAACACCCAAACA
rnacentral:rRNA from 1 species